GACGAACGCUGGCGGCGUGCUUCACACAUGCAAGUCGAACGGUGAAGCCCCUUCGGGGGCGGAUCAGUGGCGAACGGGUGAGUAACACGUGGGCAACCUGCCCCUGACUCUGGGAUAACCCCGGGAACCGGAGCUAAUACCGGAUACGACCUCUGACCGCAUGGUCUGGAGGUGGAAAGUUUUUCGGUCAGGAUGGCCCGCGGCUAUCAGCUUGUUGGCGGGGUAACGGCCCACCAAGGCGACGACGGGNGCCGGCCUGAGAGGGCGACCGGCCACACUGGGACUGAGACA
rnacentral:rRNA from 1 species